UUAAUUAUGCAGCGGAAAUAUUUUCUUAACAUUAAAUAAUCACCACAUCCAACAUGUUAAUUCUCCAAUAAAGUUUUGGCAUAAAAGCCUCAACAACAUAAUUCAACAAUCAAAUAGGGCUACACAUCAAGUUCCAAAAUUUAAUACAUAGGAAUGAAAGUAACAUUAAAAUCCCAUCCCACGUAUCAGAGCCCUAGACACUUUGAGCCACCACCUACUACUCAGGAUCACCUGCAAGUUACCCAUAGGAAUGACAACAUUUUCAAGCAGAAGGGGUGAGAUUCACAAACAAUAAUAAUAAUAAUAUAUAAUAACAUCAAUUGAAUCUAACACCCUAAAAUAUCAAUGAUUAUUCAAUAUGCAUAAGUAUUUCAUAAUCAACAACAUCAUCAAAAUAUAACAAUUCGACCAACAACAACGACUCAUGUAAUGCCAUGACAACACCUCUAAGACUCCUCGACAAAUGCAACUAUGCAUGUGGUACCAUAUUCAGGGCCGAAGCCCUCCCGCUAAUGAAUGGUUAAAGCAUUCAUUUUCAGGACAUAAGUCCUCACCGCUAAACACCGCUUUGAACAACUAGUGUUCCACCGCUUUGAACGACAAGGCGUUCCAGAGCCGAAGCUCUCCCACUUUUAUGCUUAUGCAACUGACCCACUUGUAUAUAUCUACAUACAACUCAACUAAUGCAUAUAUAUAUAUAUAUAUAUAUAUAUAUAUAUAUAUAUAUAUAUAUAUAUAUAUGACAUACGACUUCAUAGUUAAACAACUUCAUCACAACCAGUCCAACAUCAGAAAAAUGUAUAAUUAAUAACAAUCAUACUAAUACAUCAAGUUCAUUCUACAUAAUAUAUUUUCACUUGGUUUCAUACUCACUCCAAUCCAAAAUUCAUUAAAUUAUACCAACUCGGUUAACAAUGUGUUUAGUAGGAUUCAGGGUAUAUAUAAUGGUCUUACACGUUGAAAGGAACAUUUAGAAAUACUCAAAAGGAUCCCCUAGUGCACGAGGCAAAGUUCAAAAGUGGCUGACAAAGGUCAUCUUCGCUUAAGCGACGACCAGUUUGCUUAAGCGACCAGCUCACAGAAAGUUGGGGUUCCGCUCGCUGACGGUUCGCUUGAGCGAACUUCUGGUAGAAUGAAAAUGAUUUUUCACUUAUGGUGCGCUUGAGCGAACUCUUGGCAGAAUCAAAUUAAAUUUUCGCUCACUGUUCGCUUAAGCGAACUGACAAAAUCGCAUUUUGGGCAGCUUGCUUGAAUGCUCGCUUAAGUGACGGGUCGUUCGCUUAAGCGACCAUUCAUCUGGGCAGUGCAAAAACCUACGGGUUCAACCUCUUCUCACUCCAAAAACUCAAUUUUAAUCCCCUGAUCACCCUAAAUGUUUUCCAGCAGAUGUUUACAGGUCCUAUACACAACUAGACAUCUAAAGGAACACAAAUCAGGCAUCAACAACAACAAUUCAGAUCAUUCUAGCAAUCAUACAAAACUUCUCCAAUUUAUCCAACAGAUUCUAAUUUCAUUCAAAUUCUGAUCACAACAACAUUAUAGAUUAAGAAAUCAUUCUGAACACCAAAUUACAACACAUUAAACAUGAUUCUUACACCAUUCCUUUCAGAAUCAGCAUCAACCCUAAUUCCCAAUUUUUAUCUCAAGAACAAUUCAUGUUAAAACAAUUUUCAGAAAUUAUAUACUAUGAUUAUUGAGAGAUAGUCUCACCCUUACCUUAGAUUUGCAGAAAGAUUGCACAGCAAAAUCGGUUCCUAGGCUCUUCUCUCUUGUUCUUGGUUUUCCUCUCCAAAACUUGUUUAACGUAAAAACUGAUUCUGACUCUUUCUUUUCCUAACUCCCAAAACUAUAACUCCCCCUUUAUUUCAUUAAACUCCCUUAAUUUUUAUUAAAUCCUAAUUAACUCCCCAAUCUCCAAAAUAAUAUUAAUUCACACAUUAUUCUAAUUAUAUUAAAAUAAACUAUAUAAUAAAAUAAUGCACACCAUAUAAUUCAACAAAUACCAUUUUAAAUCAUACAAAUGACUCUAAAUAAUUAAAAUAAAUAAAUUAACGACUAGGGCGUUACACGACCAGAAGGUGCAACUUGACAAAUGGAUUAGGUUAUCACGUCCCAACAAACUCAUUACUUAGAUAGUCUACUUAGAAUAACUGAACGCGACUUGAUUGUUAAUUAACAUUAUGCAACCAAACAACUAACUUUGCUCUGUUACAAACAGAUUAACUUUGCAAACUCUAAACCCUUAACUCAUUUAUAUUAUUUUGUUCUCAAAUAAGUAACACAAAUUGCUUAGACGAAACGAUAAUCCCUAUGAAUACGAUACUCUACUUAUCAUUUUAUUAUUUGGUAAACGAUUUGAUAUACUUGCCUAAUCCAACCAUCAUACCCACCUUAAUGUUAGGAUAUAAAAUUUAUAUUUUGAAAUACUCUUAUUCAAUUACUGCUUGUGAAUUAUAAUUUUAAAUUCUUGUGUACUUCCCAUGAGUUAGGUUACUUACUUAGAUUUUACCUUUGAAAGUUGUAAAACUCAAUCAUUUAUCUCUUCUAUUGAGCUAUAUAACUCAAUCCUUAUUUUCUUAUAUUAUAUAUCAAACACCUAGAUAAACAUAUUCACAUUAUUCCAAAGAAAACAGUUUUAACAAUUUCAUAAUAUAUUUAAUAUGCUUCUCCUUUAUAGGUUUUUGGAAUUUUUUGUCGGUUGGAGUACCCCUCGUACAUUUUAACAGUUGAACACACACACAUUUACGUUAAGAGAGAUAUAUAUAUAUAUAUUGACACACACUCAAUUGAAGGUGUAAGAAAAUGCAAGGUUAUCAAGUUCAGAUAAUACGAAAGUGUAAGAAAAACCAUAAGAGUAGCAACAUUAUGAUGAGAAAAAGAAACUGAAAGGUUUAUAUUAAUAAGAGAAAUAUGAUUUUACCUUAACUACAUAUCCAAUCUGCAACGACCUUUAACGCACCUCACUUUUCCCCAAGGAAUAAACGGAUAUUUUUUAUAACAAUCACUAGUUUGUGUGCAUUCUCCUGUAAUGUAAAAUAAGAAUGACAAAAUAUUACUAAAAUUGGAUUAAAGUUUGUGUAUCAAAUAAGCAACAAAAUGAGAAUGAGAAUAAUAACUGUUAAUAUUCUUUACGCCAUCGGCUACAACAAGACAUAGGGAAACAAAAAGGAUCUAAAUAUAUACAAACUUAAGAGUUUCAUCCAUUUUUUUUUACCUUUUCAUAUGUAACAAAUAUAAAAUGGUUUGAUCAUAUUAUAUAGUAACAAACCUCUUUGUAUGUUUACACUAUAACAUGUUUUUAUUUUUAUUUUUAUAAUUAUGUCGUUGUAAGAAAUCCUUUUUUUAAUUAGAAUAAUUAUUAAAUAUCUCUAAAGUACAUUGAUGAAUCAUAUUUGUCGCUUUGGCUAUAAUUAAAGUUCAUUCUUGUUUAGAAACCUUUCAUUAGUUAUUUUAUUUAUUAUCUAGCCUUUCAUAAUAAAGAAUAGAUAGAUUAUUGAUGACAUGUCAUCUUACGUAAGCAUUUUUACAAACAUUUUUAUUUAGUUUUGAUCCAAGUUACAGGAGUUUUAGAGCAAUUGCCUAUGGUUUUUGGGACAUUUUUUAAUGUUUUCAUUUCGAAUCAUGUAAUUAUAACAAUCACUAGUUUGUGUGCAUUCUCCUGUAAUGUAAAAUAAGAAUGACGAAAUAUUACUAAAAUUGGAUUAAAGUUUGUGUAUCAAAUAAGCAACAAAAUGAGAAUGAGAAUAAUAACUGUUAAUAUUCUUUACGCCAUCGGCUACAACAAGACAUAGGGAAACAAAAAGGAUCAAAAUAUAUACAAACUUAAGAGUUUCAUCCAUUUUUUUUUACCUUUUCAUAUGUAACAAAUAUAAAAUGGUUUGAUCAUAUUAUAUAGUAACAAACCUCUUUGUAUGUUUACACCAUAACAUGUUUUUAUUUUUAUUUUUAUAAUUAUGUCGUUGUAAGAAAUCCUUUUUUUAAUUAGAAUAAUUAUUAAAUAUCUCUAAAGUACAUUGAUGAAUCAUAUUUGUCGCUUUGGCUAUAAUUAAAGUUCAUUCUUGUUUAGAAACCUUUCAUUAGUUAUUUUAUUUAUUAUCUAGCCUUUCAUAAUAAAGAAUAGAUAGAUUAUUGAUGACAUGUCAUCUUACGUAAGCAUUUUUACAAACAUUUUUAUUUAGUUUUGAUCCAAGUUACAGGAGUUUUAGAGCAAUUGCCUAUGGUUUUUGGGACAUUUUUUAAUGUUUUCAUUUCGAAUCAUGUAAUUAUAGUUUUCUCGAAACGAAGCAGUUCUAGGGUGUUUUUGAUGUAAUUCAAGGAAAAAUCAUGCAAAACGGCAAAACAAAAUAUCUAUGAGGAUUUAGGAAGGCAAUGGAUGGUGAUUCAAGAGGUCUCGAAAGACAUCACAAGAAGGAGGAAUUCUGUUCCAAGUCCCAAGCGAAGAAACAAGCGAUUACAUGCGAGAAAUUGCACUAUUGCACCCCUAGGUGUGAACCAUGCGUUUCGGGCACGCAGAAAAACACUCAUGCGCCCCUAGGUGGUUUUCAUGCACCCAUGCACACAAAAUAACAUCUAGGCACCCUUUGGGUGUGGUAUGAGCGCCCCAGGCAUGUUAGUUUCGGAAAAUAAUUGAUUUUUGCGCACCUAGAAUUAGGGAAAUUGUCUUAACAAGGAACAUUGUGACUGAACCGGCGCACCUAGAAUAGUAGAAUUACCCUUUUAUCCUUGGUAAGAUAGACAAGAUAGGGUUGCCUGUUUGUAGAACUACCAAGAGGAAGAGUAUGCUGAUGUACUUCUAAGAUUAAUAGAUGAGGGAACCUUUAGGAUAAAUUCAGGAACUCUAAUUUAUAUCUAUUUUUUUUUUUUUGAUUAAAGACUAUAUUUCAUUAAGAAAUUAAAUCAUCAAAAUAUAGAUUUUGGGCUUGGGCUGGGACAUUUUCCAGCCAAACCUGAUUAGGUGUUGUGGUUGCCAUAUGGGCCAAGCAAUGGGCCACAACGUUACCACUUCUAUUUACAUGAGUAAACCUAAUUUAUAUCUAUGCUUAAAUUACCUUUGAGAGUAAGACUCCACACUACAAACUAGGAGUGCGUACAAAACUACUUCAGGAUUGACGACCCUACAAUCGUAAAACGCCUUAACCCACGUGUGAAUCUGGUGCAACCCAACAAUUGGAGAGGAUAAAACCCCACAAACUCAUGACUUAAGAGGGUACUAUUUAACCAAUCCAUGAAUAGUUUGGUUGUUACUUAGUUCCAACAAAUAAAUAGAGGGGAUUCGAAGAAUCCUAACCACUGCUAAUAUUUUGCAAUAAAAAACAUGUUACUUCUAAACUCUUGCUCUAAGCAAACAGGUCAAAUUGCACAAACUCUCCAUUUAUCUUUUAUUUAAUGGUUUAUUUACUUUUAAAUAAGUAACGCGAAUUGCCUAGUUAGAACGAGAAUUCAUGUAGAUACGAUACUCUACUUAUCACUUUAUUACUUUGUAAAUGAUUUGGUACAUUUUGCCUAAAUCCAACCAUCAAUUAUACUUAGUUCGUAUUAAAGAAUUUAGGCUUACUUUUCUUGAACAAGGUAGUGUUCAAAUCUUGUGGUUGGAAGGGAAGACCCAUUAAAGAGGACCAAACAUAUUCUCAAGUUAAGAUUAACAAUUGAUAACCAAUGAAAACUUUUCACCUAUACCACAGUGAAGAAAAAAGACAAGAAAAAUCACAAAAGAGAAAUGAUAGUGUUGAGCUGUGAAAAUAUUAAUCAUAGAAUUAAUACAUCAAUUAGAUGGUAGUAACUUUAUGUAUGAAUUUAAAUAUUGAUAACUCCAAUAGAAGCAUGCUGUUAUUUUCU
rnacentral:lncRNA from 1 species